rnacentral:rRNA from 1 species
AUUGAACGCUGGCGGCAGGCCUAACACAUGCACGUCGAACGAGUGGCGGACGGGUGAGUAAUGUCUGGGAAACUGCCUGAUGGAGGGGGAUAACUACUGGAAACGGUAGCUAAUAACGCAUACCAUCGGAUGUGCCCAGCUGGGAUUCGCUUGUUGGUGGGGUAACGGAUCACCAAGGCGACGAUCCCUAGAUGGUCUGAGAGGAUGACCAGCCACACUGGAGCUGAGACACGGUCCAGACUCCUACGGGAGGCAGCAGUGGGGAAUAUUGCACAAGGGGCGCAAGCCUGAUGCAGCCAUGCCGCGUGUAUGAAGAAGGCCUUCGGGUUGUAAAGUACUUUCAGCGAGGAGGCGUUACUCGCAGAAGAAGCACCGGCUAACUCCGUGCCAGCAGCCGCGGUAAUUC